rnacentral:lncRNA from 1 species
UGUACAAUUGGUGGCAGAUUAUUUCUUGGUGGCAAAUGCUGAAAAAAAUCAAAAGACCUGCCGUCGCUGACCUUACUAACCAGUAUUUCGAGCAAUCUGGUUUGUGUUUCACUGGUACUGCGUAUCACGUCAUGUAGUUUAUCGAUUCCUCGACUAAGCGUCUGUUCAACCGUCCGAGACUGCUCGUCAAGUCAUUUUUGAAGAAACGAUCUUGUUGGUGGAUCAGAUCCUUUGCCACCAUCCUCACCACAAUCCUCCAUUAUCCCUUCAUUAAGAAUGCAGGUGUUUCUGUUAGGGACUUCUAUACUGCGAAGCUGACCGCCGAGAUUAACUUCCCUUUAUCCUAUGUUCUGAAUUGGCAAAUCGGUUGUUG